rnacentral:rRNA from 1 species
UACGGAGGGUGCUAGCGUUGUUCGGAAUCACUGGGCGUAAAGGGCGCGUAGGCGGGGAGGUAAGUCGGGUGUGAAAUCCCUCGGCCCAACCGAGGAACUGCGCCCGAGACUGCUUCUCUUGAGUCCCGGAGAGGAAGAUGGAAUUCCCGGUGUAGCGGUGAAAUGCGUAGAUAUCUGGAGGAACACCGGUGGCGAAGGCGGCGUUCUGGACUGCUACUGACACUGAGGAACGAAAGCCAGGGGAGCAAACGGG